AUCGGUUGGAAGAUGCUGGGGCACGGCAUUUUCUGCGUUUUCUGCCACCUUGCUAAGAUGGUGCUGUGACUCAUUCUCCGGAACGCUGCUCCUGAGGACACAGAUGCUUUGCUGUAUGCUCACUGCAAUACUUUGAAUCAUAGCCUGGUCUUGGGUUUAAAACCUAUAGAUUUCAAAGCGACCCUAUGCGUGUGUGUGUGGAGCUGUCAGCGAGGCCGCAGGGCUCUUGAAGGCAACGACAAGCAGUACGGGAG
rnacentral:lncRNA from 1 species